AGUCGAACGAUGAACCACUUCGGUGGGGAUUAGUGGCGAACGGGUGAGUAACACGUGGGCAAUCUGCCCUUCACUCUGGGACAAGCCCUGGAAACGGGGUCUAAUACCGGAUACCACUUCCACUCGCAUGGGUGGGGGUUGAAAGCUCCUGCGGUGAAGGAUGAGCCCGCGGCCUAUCAGCUUGUUGGUGAGGUAACGGCUCACCAAGGCGACGACGGGUAGCCGGCCUGAGAGGGCGACCGGCCACACUGGGACUGAGACACGGCCCAGACUCCUACGGGAGGCAGCAGUGGGGAAUAUUGCACAAUGGGCGAAAGCCUGAUGCAGCGACGCCGCGUGAGGGAUGACGGCCUUCGGGUUGUAAACCUCUUUCAGCAGGGAAGAAGCGAAAGUGACGGUACCUGCAGAAGAAGCGCCGGCUAACUACGUGCCAGCAGCCGCGGUAAUACGUAGGGCGCAAGCGUUGUCCGGAAUUAUUGGGCGUAAAGAGCUCGUAGGCGGUCUGUCGCGUCGGAUGUGAAAGCCCGGGGCUUAACCCCGGGUCUGCAUUCGAUACGGGCAGACUAGAGUGUGGUAGGGGAGAUCGGAAUUCCUGGUGUAGCGGUGAAAUGCGCAGAUAUCAGGAGGA
rnacentral:rRNA from 1 species